rnacentral:rRNA from 1 species
CAGCAGCAGCCGCGGGAAUACGUAGGGUGCGAGCGUUAAUCGGAAUUACUGGGCGUAAAGCGUGCGCAGGCGGUUAUAUAAGACAGAUGUGAAAUCCCCGGGCUCAACCUGGGACCUGCAUUUGUGACUGUAUAGCUAGAGUACGGUAGAGGGGGAUGGAAUUCCGCGUGUAGCAGUGAAAUGCGUAGAUAUGCGGAGGAACACCGAUGGCGAAGGCAAUCCCCUGGACCUGUACUGACGCUCAUGCACGAAAGCGUGGGGAGCAAACAGGAUUAGAUACCCGGGUAGUCCCUGUCUCUUAUAC